rnacentral:tRNA from 1 species
CGGUAGUUCAGUUGGUAGAGCAGCGGUCUCCAAAACCGCCUGUCGCGGGUUCGAGUCCUGCCCG